AACGAACGCUGGCGGCAUGCCUAACACAUGCAAGUCGAACGAAACGUCCCGGCUUUUGUGCGCUCGUCGGCGUACGGCGUGGGAACCUGCACUUGAGUUCCCAAUACCUCCCCGAAAGGGAUCCUAAUACCACAUAGUCUCUUAGCACCAAAGAUCUAUUGCCUUUGGAUGGGCGCGCGUUGGAUUCGCUGGUUGGUAGGGUAAUAGCAUAUCAAGGCCUGGAUGCAUAGCUGGUUUGAGAGGAUGAUCAGCCACACUGGGACUGAGACACGGCCCAGAAUCCUACGGAAGGCAGCAGUGGGGAAUAUUGGACAAUGGGCGAAAGCCUGAUACAGCAAUGCCGCGUGAGUGAUGAAGGCCUUAGGGUUGUAAAGCUCUUUUACCCGGGAUGAUAAUGACGGUACCGGGAGAAUAAGCUCCGGCUAACUCCGUG
rnacentral:rRNA from 1 species